rnacentral:rRNA from 1 species
AGAGUUUGAUUCUGGCUCAGAACGAACGCUGGCGGCGUGGAUAAGUCAUGCAAGUCGAACGGGGAACUUACUUAGCUUGCUUUGAAGGUUCCUAGUGGCGAACGGGUGAGUAACACGUGAGUUACCUGCCCCAAAGCGGGGGAUAGCCCGAGGAAACUCGGAUUAAUACCCCAUGUGAUCGUAAGAUUAAAGGCGGCUUCGGCUGUCGCUUUGGGAUGGGCUCGCGGCCUAUCAGCUAGUUGGUGAGGUAAAGGCUCACCAAGGCGAUGACGGGUAGCUGGUCUGAGAGGACGAUCAGUCACACUGGAACUGAGACACGGUCCAGACACCUACGGGUGGCAGCAGUCGAGAAUCAUUCGCAAUGGACGAAAGUCUGACGGUGCGACGCCGCGUGGAGGAUGAAGGCCCUAGGGUCGUAAACUCCUGUCAUCAGGGAGUAAUGACUUACGCAGUAACUGGCGUGGGUAGUGAUAGUACCUGAAGAGGAAGGGACGGCAAACUUCGUGCCAGCAGCCGCGGUAAUACGAAGGUCUCAAGCGUUGUUCGGAUUUACUGGGCGUAAAGAGUCUGUAGGCGGUGUGGUAAGUCAGAUGUGAAAUCCCGGAGCUCAACUCCGGAACUGCAUCCGAUACUGCCAUACUUGAGUAUUGGAGGGGAGUCUGGAAUUCUCGGUGUAGCAGUGAAAUGCGUAGAUAUCGAGAGGAACACUAGUGGCGAAGGCGAGACUCUGGACAAUAACUGACGCUGAGAGACGAAGGCCAGGGUAGCGAAAAGGAUUAGAUACCCUUGUAGUCCUGGCAGUAAACGGUGCACGCUUGGUGCAGGAGGAUUCGACCCCUUCUGUGCCGGAGCUAACGCGUUAAGCGUGCCGCCUGGGGAGUACGGUCGCAAGAUUAAAACUCAAAGAAAUUGACGGGGACCCGCACAAGCGGUGGAGCAUGUGGCUUAAUUCGAUGCAACGCGAAGAACCUUACCUGGGCUUGACAUGUUAGUCGUAGAUUUGUGAAAGCUUAUCGUCACUUCGGGUGGACUAUCACAGGUGCUGCAUGGCUGUCGUCAGCUCGUGUCGUGAGAUGUCAGGUUAAGUCCUAUAACGAGCGCAACCCCUAUGAACUGUUGCCAGCGAGUAAUGUCGGGGACUCUGUUCAGACUGCCCAGAUUAACUGGGAGGAAGGAGGGGAUGACGUCAAGUCAGUAUGGCCCUUACGCCCAGGGCUGCACAC